GAUAAGGUCCAGGGAGUAAGUAUGCUGAGUGACUGCCUCCCAGGCUCUUCUGAGAAGGGGAAGACCCUUUUCAGCAACUUCCUCCUUCCUCCUCCUUCUGCCUCUGCCCUCCUCUCCUAACUCAGUGCCAUGGUCUCUCUGAGAGAGGCAGGACAGUCUUUGUCCCCACCUCCCCUCGAAAGCUGGGACAGCAGCCGCCCAGGCGCCUUACCCGUUCCUGUCCUGAACCCUCCACCAGUGAAUCUCAGAGCUGUCGAGCAGAUGAGAAAGCUGGCCAAGAGACUCAGAAAGUUAAGUGACAAAUAUGAAAUCACAGAGCGAGGAUACUGAAGGGCUGGAACUCACAACAGAGGGCUCUGACAGCAGUUCUCUUGGUGUUGGAGAUGUCUGUCUGACUCCCAGUGAACCCAACCUUCAGCUUGCAAACUUCUGCUGGUCCACCUUCAGCAUGCCUCCUACUGUUCCCAACUCUGUUGGGAUCCCCUUGCUCAUUUGGUUGUCCUGUUGGGUCUGCACCCUCUCCUGGAUUUGAGGUUGGGAUAGAGUCUGCCUUAUCCACCACAUGGGCCGAGACUAGAGAGCAGUUUUCCUCCAAAGAAACACCAGAGUGUUGUCACCAGAGAAAGUGGCAUGGAUGUCAGUUCAUCACUAGUGACCUCACCUUUACCCUGACCUAAAGCCCAUCUUCAUGGUUCUAUCACUUGAGGCCCUGCAAUUCCAAUUCUCUUCUCUGGUCCCAGGAAUCGCCUUUUAGAUACGUGAAGAUACUUCUUGGAUAACUCUAGAGCCCUCCUGUGUCCAAGACAAAGAGAUUCUUCAACUGUGCUUUUAGGGGGUGGCUUCUAUGGCCUUUAUUUUCCCUGUGAUUCUCAUCCAAAUGUGAUCAGGUUUAUUUGUAUCUGUUUAAGAGUACUACCAAAAUAUUUCAGUAAUUAUAUAACCUCUUUCUUCUGGGAAAAAAAAAUUCCUUCUAGAACUAUUAAUCCUAGACAAAACAAAUAACAUUAGCACAUUUAGAACAUUUGUACUAAAUGUUCACUGUAUUGGUGUCUAUAAUGGAAACAAUCUAUAUAUGCAUCAGUGAGAAACUGAUUAAUCUAUGGUGCAUCCAUUCAAAGCAACACUACAAGAUCAUGAAAAUGAAUGAAGAAUUUAUAUAAGGUAUCACUCUGAAAAAAGCACAAGAUACAUUGUUAAGAUAGAAAAGGUACAGACUAAUAUGUAUGGCAUGAUCCCAUUUUUACAUAAAAAUAUUUUGUGUCUAUAUUAACACAUAUGUCUAUGUUUAGGGCAGUGUCAGAAAGCUUCCAUAUCAAACUUCCAGCAAGGAAUUGGAAUUUUGCUUUUCAUUUAUAAUUAAAAGAGAAAAUAUUGUGGGAGAA